rnacentral:tRNA from 1 species
GCUAAUUUGGCAGAAAAUUGCCAUGGGUUUAGAAUUCAUUUAUGUAAAUAAAUUUUUACAAUUAGUA